GCAGGCCUAACACAUGCAAGUCGAGCGCAGUCCUUCGGGACCGAGCGGCGGACGGGUUAGUAACGCGUGGGAACAUACCCUUUUCUACGGAAUAGCCUCGGGAAACUGAGAGUAAUACCGUAUAAGCCCUUCGGGGGAAAGAUUUAUCGGGAAAGGAUUGGCCCGCGUUAGAUUAGAUAGUUGGUGGGGUAAUGGCCUACCAAGUCUACGAUCUAUAGCUGGUUUUAGAGGAUGAUCAGCAACACUGGGACUGAGACACGGCCCAGACUCCUACGGGAGGCAGCAGUGGGGAAUCUUAGACAAUGGGCGCAAGCCUGAUCUAGCCAUGCCGCGUGUGUGAUGAAGGUCUUAGGAUCGUAAAGCACUUUCGCCAGGGAUGAUAAUGACAGUACCUGGUAAAGAAACCCCGGCUAACUCCGUGCCAGCAGCCGCGGUAAUACGGAGGGGGUUAGCGUUGUUCGGAAUUACUGGGCGUAAAGCGUACGUAGGCGGAUCAGAAAGUUAGGGGUGAAAUCCCGAGGCUCAACCUCGGAACUGCCUCUAAAACUCCUGGUCUUGAGUUCGAGAGAGGUGAGUGGAAUUCCAAGUGUAGAGGUGAAAUUCGUAGAUAUUUGGAGGAACACCAGUGGCGAAGGCGGCUCACUGGCUCGAUACUGACGCUGAGGUACGAAAGUGUGGGGAGCAAACAGGAUUAGAUACCCUGGUAGUCCACACCGUAAACGAUGAAUGCCAGUCGUCGGGCAGUAUACUGUUCGGUGACACACCUAACGGAUUAAGCAUCC
rnacentral:rRNA from 1 species